AACGAACGCUGGCGGCAGGCCUAACACAUGCAAGUCGAGCGCCCUUUCGGGGGAGCGGCGGACGGGUGAGUAACGCGUGGGAAUAUGCCCUUCUCUACGGAAUAGCCUCGGGAAACUGAGAGUAAUACCGUAUACGCCCUGUGGGGGAAAGAUUUAUCGGGGAAGGAUUAGCCCGCGUUGGAUUAGGUAGUUGGUGGGGUAAUGGCCUACCAAGCCGACGAUCCAUAGCUGGUUUGAGAGGAUGAUCAGCCACACUGGGACUGAGACACGGCCCAGACUCCUACGGGAGGCAGCAGUGGGGAAUCUUAGACAAUGGGGGCAACCCUGAUCUAGCCAUGCCGCGUGAGUGAUGAAGGCCUGAGGGUUGUAAAGCUCUUUCAGCUGGGAAGAUAAUGACGGUACCAGCAGAAGAAGCCCCGGCUAACUCCG
rnacentral:rRNA from 1 species